rnacentral:rRNA from 1 species
GACGAACGCUGGCGGCGUGCUUAACACAUGCAAGUCGAACGAUGAAGCUGGAGCUUGCUCUGGUGGAUUAGUGGCGAACGGGUGAGUAACACGUGAGUAACCUGCCCUGGACUCUGGGAUAACCCCGAGAAAUCGGAGCUAAUACCGGAUAGGACCUUGGAUCGCAUGAUCUGGGGUGGAAAGUUUUUCGGUCUGGGAUGGACUCGCGGCCUAUCAGCUUGUUGGUGCGGUAAUGGCUCACCAAGGCGUCGACGGGUAGCCGGCCUGAGAGGGUGACCGGCCACACUGGGACUGAGACACGGCCCAGACUCCUACGGGAGGCAGCAGUGGGGAAUAUUGCACAAUGGGCGCAAGCCUGAUGCAGCAACGCCGCGUGCGGGAUGACGGCCUUCGGGUUGUAAACCGCUUUUAGUAAGGAAGAAGCCGCAAGGUGACGGUACUUGCAGAAAAAGGACCGGCUAACUACGUGCCAGCCGCCGCUGUAAGAC